AUUGAACGCUGGCGGCAUGCCUUACACAUGCAAGUCGAACGGUAGAGGAGCAAUCCUCGAGAGUGGCGAACGGGUGAGUAAUGCAUCGGAACGUGCCCAGUAAUGGGGGAUAGCCCGGCGAAAGCCGGAUUAAUACCGCAUACGACCUACGGGUGAAAGAGGGGGAUCGCAAGACCUCUCGUUAUUGGAGCGGCCGAUGUCAGAUUAGGUAGUUGGUGGGGUAAAGGCCUACCAAGCCAACGAUCUGUAGCUGGUCUGAGAGGACGACCAGCCACACUGGGACUGAGACACGGCCCAGACUCCUACGGAGGCAGCAGUGGGGAAUUUUGGACAAUGGGCGCAAGCCUGAUCCAGCCAUGCCGCGUGCGGGAAGAAGGCCUCGGGUUGUAAACCGCUUUUGUCAGGGAAGAAAUACUUCUGGGUUAAUACCUUCGGGAGGAUGACGGUACCUGAAGAAUAAGCACCGGCUAACUAACGUG
rnacentral:rRNA from 1 species